UACGAAGGGGGCUAGCGUUGCUCGGAAUCACUGGGCGUAAAGCGCACGUAGGCGGGUUGUUAAGUCGGGGGUGAAAUCCUGGAGCUCAACUCCAGAACUGCCUUCGAUACUGGCGAUCUUUGAGUCCGGAAGAGGUGAGUGGAACUCCUAGUGUAGAGGUGGAAUUCGUAGAUAUUAGGAAGAACACCAGUGGCGAAGGCGGCUCACUGGUCCGGUACUGACGCUGAGGUGCGAAAGCGUGGGGAGCAAACAGG
rnacentral:rRNA from 1 species